rnacentral:rRNA from 1 species
GGACUGCAGGCUGCAACUCGCCUGCACGAAGUUGGAAUUGCUAGUAAUCGUGGAUCAGCAUGCCACGGUGAAUACGUUCCCGGGUCUUGUACACACCGCCCGUCACACCAUGGGAGCCGGUAAUACCCGAAGUCGGUAGUCUAACCGCAAGGAGGACGCCGCCGAAGGUGGGGUUGAUGAUUAGGGUUAAGUCGUAACAAGGUAAC